rnacentral:rRNA from 1 species
UACUAGAGUAGCACUCGCAUAUCAAUAAGCGGAGGAAAAGAAACUAACAAGGAUUCCCCUAGUAACGGCGAGUGAAGCGGGAAGAGCUCAAAUUUGAAAUCUUAAAGGGUUUCCCUUUACGAAUUGUAGUUUAAAGAAGUGUUUUACUGUUGAGGUUUUGGUAAAAGUUCUUUGGAAUAGGACAUCAUAGAGGGUGAGAAUCCCGUAUUUGACCUUUACUUUCAACUUUGUGAUACACUUUCAAAGAGUCGGAUUGUUUGGGAAUGCAGUCCAAAAUGGGUGGUAAAUUUCAUCUAAAGCUAAAUAUUGGCGAGAGACCGAUAGCGAACAAGUACCGUGAGGGAAAGAUGAAAAGAACUUUGAAAAGAGAGUUAAACAGUACGUGAAAUUGUCAAAAGGGAAGCGUUUGACACCAGUGUUGUUUUUCUGAAAAUCAAUUAAAGAACUGUUUAUGCUAAGCUGUUUAGACUUUAUCAGCUAUACUGUUUAGUUUUGAGCUUUUCUUUAAUGCACUUUUCAGUUAACAAGUCAACAUCAAUUUCUUUUGCUGUAAAAAAGCUUGAGGAAGGUGGCUUGAGAUUCGUCUUAAGUGUUUAUAGCCUCUUGCCUAUGCAGUCGGAGAGAUUGAGGUCUGCAGCGUAGAUCCUUCGGGGCUAAAUGCAUUUGUGCUAAGUUAUAACAUUUUAUAGACAACUUGUUGACUAUGAUUUGUCUUGUAGCUUACUCGCUUAUGUUAUUUUACCUACGCUUAGGAUGUUGAUCUACAGAGCGAGAGU